GACGAACGCUGGCGGCGUGCUUAACACAUGCAAGUCGAACGGAAAGGCCUCUUUCGGGGGGUACUCGAGUGGCGAACGGGUGAGUAACACGUGAGUAACCUGCCCUUGACUUUGGGAUAACUUCAGGAAACUGGGGCUAAUACCGGAUAGGAGCUCCUGCUGCAUGGUGGGGGUUGGAAAGUUUCGGCGGUUGGGGAUGGACUCGCGGCUUAUCAGCUUGUUGGUGGGGUAGUGGCUUACCAAGGCUUUGACGGGUAGCCGGCCUGAGAGGGUGACCGGCCACAUUGGGACUGAGAUACGGCCCAGACUCCUACGGGAGGCAGCAGUGGGGAAUAUUGCACAAUGGGUGGAAGCCUGAUGCAGCAACGCCGUGUGCGGGAUGACGUCCUUCGGGUUGUAAACCGCUUUCGCUCAUGACGAAGCUUUGUGUGACGGUAGUGGGUAAAGAAGCACCGGCUAACUACGUG
rnacentral:rRNA from 1 species